rnacentral:lncRNA from 9 species
AAAUUACCUGUUAUUCUUGAAUCUGGAAGUACCAGUCAUGCUGGCAAUUUCCUGCCACUCUUUCCAAUAAAAAGUCCACAUUCGGAUUUCACAGUGACUCAGGAAAUUGCCUCAAAUCUCUUACACCAUUUUCCUGGUGGCGGGUGUCAAACCCAAAUCUGCCUUCACUUUAAGUGUACAAGUUUUUAAAAACAGUGUUGUGCAUAGGUAAACUGAAAAAUUACAUCCUCCUUUAUCUUAGCAACAUGAUAGUGUGAAAAAAGCAAUAAUAAAUCCUCCUCACCAAUCAAUGCAAGUAUUCAGGUUUACGAAGGUGUAUGGGAAUUACUAUAAAAGAAAAGGGGACCUGACAAUUUCUGUUUGAUUGCGGAAUGUGUAGCAUCAUCAGAAUGACGAGGCAAAUGCUGAGGAUCAUUUUUCUGAACGUUGCAAGAACUGACUGGGUAUUCAGCAAAAGCUAAAUGAAAAUGUCAGGGUAACAACGACGAUUUUGCACUUUAGCCCUCACUGAUGCUUGGCGCACAGCGAAAUUUGAUUGCGGCUUCUUAAAAGUACGGAAUCGAACAUUCAGAGACAUCAACCGUACGAGGCUAUACUAACUAGAAUGCUCCUUUAUUUUCCCUUCAAGGGUUUUGUUUUUUAAUAUAUAUUCUUUUUAGUAAUACAGUAUUUGGUUAAUAUAUAUGUCUCACUCAUUAAACCUCAUACUUUGAAUUUGAAGGUACUUUUUUUCUACUUUUAUUUCUUUGUUAAGCAUGACAUUAUUCUAAGUUUCUCUCAGAUACCAAUAAAUAAGUAACAAGAGUUCAGUGAGUAUCUAGCAUGUACCUACCACAGGCUGAGCAUCAUGGAAAUUUAGGAUGGAAGAAAUUAGGACUUACUGGGGAGGCAAGAUUGGACAGUGAUAAAAUACGUUUUCAACUUUCUAUUCUGUGAUAAGGAAGAGUAAGAUUUGGGAAAUUGGGUGUAAAUACCCACUUGGUUGACAUGAGCAUCUUUGUUUUUGUUUUUUUGUUUGGUUGGUUGGUUUUUUGGCUGCACCCACAUCAUAUGCAAGUUCCCCAGGCCAGGAACUGAAUCUGUGCCACUCUUACACCACAGAGGGAACUUGAUGAGCAUCUUGCUUUUAAUCAGAAAUUACAUCUACAGGGACAUCAGCUUUUCCACAAAUAAACUAUUUUCCACAGAUUCUACUAACACCAUUACAAUGACAUAUUAUUGAAAGUGGCUAGGUGAUUUUCAUUUUUAAUAUGUUAUCUAAUGCAGUCGUAAGUAAUUCUUACUAGCCAGUAAUUUAUUGGUUUUGUUAAAUUAAAAGAAAAAUCUAUUAAGGGAGGUUAUUAUAUGUAAAUGGUAAAUCUAUUUAGAUAAAAAAAAAUCAUGUUUCAUGUGUUUUUCAUUAAUUAUAAUGGCACUGAUCAAUUUUAAAUGUGGGCCCCCUCUACAUAGCAAAAUUGAUUUUUUCCUCUGCAUUUUAAUUGCUGCAGCUAUUAUCUGGGAAACAAAAAGUAUCAGUUAUUUUCAUGAUUCCAUGUAUGUGAGGUAUAGCUAUUCAUUUCUGCAAGUCAUAUUUGUUUCAAAGUAUUAUUACUUUGCAUCCAAAAGCAUCAAUAACAACGUGAGUUAGAGCUACCAUUUUUUGAAUGACUAGUAUGUUUCAGGUACUAUCUUGGAACUGUUUUUGUACCUGGUACUUUAUGUCAUUACUGUCCAUGACCAUCUGGUAAAGUAGCUAUCAUUACCCACAAUUACACAAAAGCAAUGUGGCUAAGUAACUCUCUCAAGUCAUCAAUUAGAAGUGACAAAGGCUGUUUUCAAACCAAGAUUGCCUGGACUCAAGCAUUAAAUUUUUACCCUAUCACCAUGCUGCCUCCAAGAUAUCUUUGAAAAUAUUGAAAAUGAAGCUAUCAGUGUAAAAAUAAGACCUUGAGCCUGUUUAAUUUGGGGUUUGUAUUUCAGCAACAUUUUAACACUAAUUCUUUUAAGUGAAUAAAAACUAAAUUAACUAACUGUAACUCUGUAAUUUAUUUCCUUAUAUGCUCAGUAUCAUGUCAACCCUUUGUUAGCAUGGCUGACAUUUCCCAGCAUUGAAAUUUAUUACAUAUGAUCAUACUUCUGUAUUGACUACAGAUAUUUCUUUCUUCUCUGAACAAACCUCUUUGUUGUCACACUGUUAGCAGAUAUGUAUUCUACUCUACAGACAGCAAUAAUGCAUAAAAAUAUGGUUGUAGAUAUUCAUGUCCUUUCUCAAGCCCCAGCACAUACUGAUGUAACCAUCACGUCAUUCAUGUUUAUUUCAUCAUGACAAGAACAAAAACAGAAAUAAUUAAUAUUGAUUUCCCUGAUCUUGCCUCUAACCUACACAGCUUUCACAAGUGUGGAUUGAUGGAGAAACACUUUACCUCUGAAGCUCUCUGACAUUUAAAUAUUUAAGUUCCAUUUCAUAGCUCACUAAAUACUACUGGGAUACACAAAAAUAACUACCAAAAAAGCAGAACUACACAAAAAGAACUUGAGAAAUUAGCUGAAACCAGAAAGUCUCUACAAUUUUAAAAAGCUAUCGUUAGAAACUUACAUUCUCAGCAUCAAAUUUGUAUUUUCAAUCUCAAUAGGAGAGAUAUGAACAUUAUUACUCUUUAAUAAAACCUUGACUAAUAUUUCCUGUUAUUGCCCAAAUGCAGUGACACCAAGAACUAGUAGUCUGUUAGUAUUUACAACUUACUCCCUAAUUUAUGAGCAGAUCACUCUCUCUGACUUUCAUUUAUUGCUUUCUUUUGACCACAGCCCUGCAAGCUUGGGCAGGUUAUUUAACCUCUCCAGCCUUCCUCAUAUUUAACCAUUUAACAUAUAACAUAAAUCCACGGAUUAAAUGAGAAUAUGUGUAUGUGUUACACAUAUCAAAGAAUGCCUGCCAUACACGUAAUAGACUCGCAAUAAGUUCCCUCCUUUUUUCCUUUUCAUAUGUAUGUUUACCUGUGUAUAUAUACUAAGUAAACAUCUGUUAAAUACAUUGUACUCGAUCACAUACUAUAUACUUUAUAUGCAUGCUAUAAAGUAUAAUGUGUAAAUAUACACAUUAUAUUUAUAUAUGUACAUUUGUUAAAUACAUUAUAUUUUGUAGCUCACAGCCUCAUUCUUUUUCCCCAGUUUGUGGCUGGAAGCUUUAAGGCUUGAAAUCGGAUAUAGGAAUAGAGGCUUAAAUAAGAGCUGCGAACUUGAGAAAACAAGAAUGGAAGAGUCCAAAGAGUCACAGAGAUCUAGUGAUGAGAGAGCGUUUGUUCUAGAACUUGCCGACCUUGAAGAGGUCGCAGACUCCUGUCUCUCUGCUUCCUCUGCUUCGGUUUCCUCCUCCAAGAUUUCUGACCAUGACAUGUUUCUAUAAUGAUUAGGGAGGCUUAGUACAUUUCCGGUUCCUCUUAGGCCUGUGACGAAAACAGAGAGCUCCGUGGUGAUUUUUCUUUUUGUUGGACUUGGUGGGGGGGGGGGAGGCCUUGAUGAUUAGCAGUUACCUAAGUACUCAGCAUAUGUAGGCAAAGAGUUAAUUUUCACAGUGCGUUAGAGAAAUUAGAAUGGGUAAUUCUCUUUCCAUAAUAUUUUCUUAUCUCAAGUGUUUAGAUCAGCCUCUACCAAAACCAAAUUGUAGACCAAAUUAGUGCUUGAUGUGACUUGAUUUUAGUGGGUUCUCUCGCUAAGACAUGACACAUCUCCCUCUUCAUUAUCCCCCGGGGGGAAGGAGUGGAUCACCCGUAGGCAACCCAGGAAACGGAUUAACCAAGCCAUGGAGUAGAAUGAGUGGGUGACAGUGAUUCUAUCCCUCAGUUAUGAAAUUCACAAAACAUAUCUGCAGUUAUGGUAGCCACGUGUGCAGCAUUUCAGGUGAGCUGUGGAUGGUAGGAGAAGGCAACAUGAACCUGCAGGAAGCCCCUGAUUUAUUUGACAAGUAUGCUGGCAUCAAUGGAAGCAUGGCGACUUCCUGCAGCAGGAGCAGAAAGGCAGCAUAUGGCUUUCCUCUUGCCCCUGGCUUCCCUGAGGGGCACGCAGCUGCCAGAAACUCACUUCAUCUUGGGAAGGCCCUGCUAGCAUGGCAGAUAGAGCCAAGUUCUUGCUGCAGCGCAGUCUUUCAAACCAUGGGGCCUAUGACUCAAGUCUGGGAAAACAUAGGCUAAUAACCCAUGUGCUUCCGUUAAGGGAACAUUUAUAGAAUUUAGACUCUACAGGUUCUGCACACUUUUCCCAGGAGUCCCACAUUUGCUUCUGGUAUAGAAAGAAAGAGUCAUGUUUCUGUCUCUAGCACUCUGGUAUCUCCAAAAACCACUUCCUAGCAGAACCUUCCUUGAUACAGAUUUUGUACCCUUUCACUGGGUGGUUUCAAUAUGCUGUUUGGUUUGAAGGUAACAACAGAUUAAUUUCUCUGAAAUAUAUUUAGUUCUUACUAAAUGCAAAGGUAAAUCCCUACUGAGUUCUCAGACUAAAUGAGUGAGUUUGAACCCAGGCCUGGCAGCUUUAUAAAUGACUGUGUGCUUCACUACUCUGCUUCAGAGGCACCUGGGACGCUUAUCAAAUGCAAAAUUACUGGGCAUCACCCUAGCUUUACUCCCGAAUCAUAAUCUUUGGGGAAGAAGCUAAAGAAUUGUUGUAUUUCCAAGAUCCCACUUGACUCGUGCACAUUUAGGUUUGGCCAUCACUAAUUUGCAUCCUGAUUGCACUGAUUCCUUUAGAAUUUGAAGUUCUGGUUAUCUUAGGAGGAGAAGCUGGUAUACAUGUUCCCAGCACUACUGCGACAGCUGUCUUCGCCUCCUUCAAAAAAACCACUUGGUUGCCUGGUAUCAGUAUAUACGCUAGUCAUUGCCCUAGCCUGAGCUCAGCUCAGCCCACCCACCUCAGAAUAUACUGGCAGUCGGGGUCAAAUGAGUCAGCUUCCCAAGCGCUCAUCUUGAAAAACGGAGGCCAGCUUUUGCCCCUUACCUCCUCUCUUGAGUUUUGUUAAAAUAAAGUCUGUUCUUAUCUGUGGAAACAAGCGUGCAUGCCAUCUGCUUCCUUGGAGAUGUCAGAGUCCUACAGUAUCUUUCAUUCAGCAGACACUGAUUUCACCCCUGCUUAUGAUGUCUCUUCAUCCUCAUCUCCUCUCCCAUGCCAGCUUUCUGCCAUCAGAUGCAAUCAGUGUAUUUGGACAUUAAUCUAUUCUUUAUGCUUCAUUUUCCUCCCCAUUUAGGCCUAAGGAAUUUUAUAUUUUCGUAUCUCGUGAUGCUCUGUGGAUUCCUUAUUUCUUCAAAUAAUGUACUUCUUUGAAAAUGUACACACAAUGUCUGUGUUUACCUUCGCUGUUUCUUAAGUUUAUUAUUUAAAUAAUGCCUGAGAUACUGCAUAUGAUACUAGACAGACAAGCUAGAAUGGAUGGCUUAACUAAGACAAGCUAUUGUGUCUACUUCCAUUAAUACUAUUGUGGUUAUCUAGGAUAACACAUUUGAAAAACAAGACAUUUUGUAUUGCAUAGCACAAGCACAAUCAAUAUUCUAGAUUGUCAAUGAAAAAAAUCUUUGAGUAAGUGGUAAAAAGAUUGAAAAUAUUUAGAUUAGUAAUGAUUAUUUGAAUAUGGAAGGCCAGCUAAUUAUUUAAAACAAUAAUACAUGGGACCCUACGACUGCUCUUAAAAAUACAAAGUCUCUUUAAAAGCCAUAGAAACCGCUCCUUAGAAAUAGUUUUAUUUAACAAUUAAAAUGGGCUCAGGAGGUGAUUUUCACUGCUUCUAUUGCUUUCAUGGUGUCUGCAGUUUAUUGGUGCCUACUUUCUGAGGAGCAUCAUGGGAAUGUAAGAACACAUGGCAUUAGGAUGCAUCAUUCAUCAGGUUAAACGACAUAUGUCACUGACUUGGGUUUCACUCUUCAGGGUGCUCCUGAAGCACAUCGGGCCCCAGCUUAGCUGGCAGCAGUCCGACAUGCAGAAGUAGCACAUUGUUUCUCGUGAAAUGCCCUUCAAGUUGCUCUCAUAGCUGUGUGAGGCCUCAGCAGAAAUGCCGAGAGCCAGAGAGGAGAGAGGGUCCAGGCACCAGGCAGUAACCCUGUGUGGCGGUGUCUAGCUUGGUAUCUCAGGCAGGGAAAUGUCAGGAUCACUGGUGAGUGAUUAACACGCAGACAGGGCAGGUCCAUGUUACACCUGGGAACCUGCAGCUCACUCAAGCUACAGUGCGCCUAUGCAGAAUCCCAAAGCAGCCCCUGGGGUGCCAGGUAAGCCUCUUACCUUCAUUUCUAAUAGUCUGAAGUUACUGCUGAAAAAGAACUGAGAAGUUAAGACUCUUCUCUGCCACCAUGUGAUAAUUUGCAUUAUUCAUCUUUCUAUGAGCAGGCUUCAAUAUGUGCAUUUUCCAGAAUGUACUAAAGAUGGAAAUAAAUUCAUGGCUGGCUGGGUUAAGUAUACUGAAAUGUGGCCAGAAUGAAGAAAAACAAAUUGACCUGCAUGUAGACCAACCAUGAGAGACUUUGCAAUAAGACUUUUUAUUAAUUGCACAUGCCAGGAAACAGUCACUUACUAAGACAGAUGAAAUAAAAUGUUUCCAUUUGGCAAAAUGCUUGGAGGUGGAGACAAAUUUAAUCAAUCAAAUGGGAACAUUAGUAAAAUGAGGAGAAAUAAGACACUAUAAGCAGAUCACAAUUUCAUGGGAACUUUCAUUUGUCUUUGGAGCAGCAGAAUAAAAUGGCUGUCACUGCUUUAAUCACUUGAGAACCAGAAUUCUUUUCAGAGUGUUAUCACUUAUUGUUGAAUAUCCUGUGUUAGGAGUCCAAGGUGCAGAUUCUACAUCAGAGAAUCAUUUAUUUGAUUUGCGGCAGCCACAGAUUGCUUGAGGAAUACCACUUUUGUUUACAGAAAACUGAAAUGGGCAUAGUAGAAUAUAUUCCUAUGCUUCAAGUGCAUUUUAAGACAAGAGGUCAAACUCGGGUUGUCCUUGGACAAGUGAAAAGCAGAAAUCACAAAACAUCAAGUCCUAGAUUGUUUUUGUGUAACAUUAUAGGUCUAUGAUUUUGA